rnacentral:rRNA from 1 species
AUACGUAGGUGACAAGCGUUAUCCGGAUUUACUGGGCGCAAAGGGCGUGUAGGCGGUCUUGCAAGUCAGAAGUGAAAUUCCUGAGCUCAACUCGGGCGCUGCUUCUGAAACUGCAGGACUUGAGUGCUGGAGGGGAUAGCGGAAUUCCUAGUGGAGCGGUAAAAUGCGCAGAUAUUAGGAAGAACACCGGUGGCGAAGGCGGCUAUCUGGACAGUAACUGACGCUGAGGCGCGAAAGCGUGGGGAGCAAACAGGAUUAGGUCCCCUGGUAGUCCACACUGUAAACGAUGAAUGCUAGGUGUAGGGGGUAUCGACCCCUUCUGUGCCGCAGUUAACACAAUAAGCAUUCCGGCUGGGGAGUACGGCCGCAAGGUUGAAACUCAAAUGAAUUGACGGGG